AAUUGGAAGCCCUGGUGCCUGAUCGGCUACUAAAUCUCCAGCCCUGAGGGCUUCUAGACAGAGAGUUCUGGAAGCACCCAGUUGGCAGCCCAAGGUUGGAGCAAAUAAUGAUCUCACCAGGGCUUUUGCUCUGCAAAGGGAGCCGGUUGAAGGGUAGAGGGACCUACCAUAUUUGCAUGGUGGCAAUGACAUCUGAUUCCGCCUCUGAGCAUUGGCUAAGAGCCCUUGUGCAGUCAUCUCAGGGGAUGGCCUGAGCCGAGGCCAGCAGAUGAAGGGAUGGAGAGGACAUGGCAAGUGGCAUCGUCAUCAUGGUUCAGCCGUCUGGAGUUACUUGAACAGGCUUGAUGGUUAUGGUUUCUCUGAUGCUUUUGCAAAAUUGUUCCUGCAAAAGUACUUCAUCUUCGAGAAGACUUAUGGAAAGUACUCUAGAAUACAGAUUUCUGAUAACUUUGAGAUAAGAAAACCGAACUGGGAUCGUUGAGAACUAAAAUUGCCCUUUUUCCGAGGCCAUGCCAACUAACAUUGGACGACUUGACAUAAACUUCGGAGAAAUCACCACAGAAACUCAUGUAUGAACAGUCUUUGUGCCUGUGGCUGUGUGGGCGACUCUGAGAUCACCAGAGGCAUUCAGACUACAAACCAGGAAAAUCUGUCCAGUUGCCAUUGUCCGUUCUCACUCCAUCUGAAGAUGCUUCCAGUCUGACAUCUAGAAAUCUUUUCAACUAUUCAACCAGUGACCCGCAGAACUCUGUUGGUUUAUAAUUUGCUCCAGUAAUUAGCUGUUGUUGUUUUUUUUGUUUGUUUGUUUCCAUAGAAAUGCCUUAUUAAAUAUCUGGUUUUUUUUGCAUCAUGCAGGCCUAACUUUGGGAUCCCAGCUGCAUCACCACCUUCUAAAAUGAGACACAACUGUUUAACUGAACUGACAUAUUUUCAAGGCUAAGAGAUUAAUUCAGUGAAAUAAUGGAGCAAUAUUCCAAGAUGAAUACAAUCAAGGCCCACCACACUUAAGAAGAAAUUUCUCCUCCUCUUUAAUUGAGUAAAAGAAUUUAGAUAGGGAGCCUGUACCAGGAAGAGAGUUAUUACCGAAGAAAACUUUUUUCUUUUUUUUUUAACAGAAAAAAAUCUUAUCCACAUGCCAUGGCAAAUAUUUGUUUACCCAUUUUUGAUCUUCCCAUUUUUGGAUGGAUUGUCUUCCUCUCUUUAGAAGUCCUAGACCCCCACCUGCUUCAGGAUGGCAUAUAAACCUCAAUUGCCUGACUGUGGAGAGCCUCUCAUGUCUUUGUGGGGCUCCUAUAUGUGCAUAAUCAAAUUUGUUUUUCUCCUAUUAAUCUGUCUUAUGUCAAUUUAAUUAUUAGUUCAGCCAAAAAACCUAUAAGGGAAGAAGUAAAAAAUAUUUUCUCCCCUGUAAGAAGCAGUUCCCCCCUGUUGGUUUGCCACUGAGCUUAUAUCUUUGGUUCUUACCUACACAUCUGUUCCAAGCCCACUCCCUACUGUUUCUGAUUUGGGACUUUUACUUUGCCUAUAGCUCAGGGAAGGACCAAAGGAAGAGUAGGAAGAGGAGGAGAAACUGAGGAGUGAGGAACUUUGUUAGCCCGUGGGACCAUGGGAAGCAAACACCUGCGAAAAUUUUCCAGAAGGUGAAGAAUGUUAAAGAGAGCACAUGGGGUGCUGUGCUCAGUAAGUGCUUUCAACAUCUUCUAGCUAAAGAAACUGAGAUAUUCAGAAGUCAGGGAUUUAAAUGAGGACACUCCAUUAGUUUUCUAGGGCUGCCAUAACAAAGUCCUAUAGACUGGGUAAUUUAAACAACAGAGCUUUUUUAAAAAAUUUUAUUUAUUUAUUUGACAGAGAGAGAGCAUGAGAAAGCACAAGCAGUGGGAACAGCAGGAGAGGGAGAAUGGGCUCCCCAAUGAGCAAGGAGCCUCACUCUAGGUUCCAUCCCAGGAUCCUGGGAUCAUGACCUGAGCAGAAGGCAGAUGCUUAACAGACUGAGCCACCAGGUGCCCCUAAACGACAGAAAUGUAUUAUCUCACAGUCCUGGACGCUGGAAUUCCAAGAUCAAGGUGUUGGCAGGAUUGGCUGCUUCAAGGCCUCUCUCCUUGGCUCGCAGAUGGCCUGUUUCCCUGUCUCCACGUGAUUUUCCCUCUGUGCCAGUCUGUGUCCUAAUCUCCUUUCUUAUACUCGGUAUUGGAUUAGAGCUCAUCCAUAUGACUUCAUUUUACAUUAAUUACCUCUUCAAAAGCCCUACUUCCAUUCUGAGGCCCUAUUCACAUUCUGAGGUGCAGAGGGGUAGGACUUCCAGAGAUAAACUUUGGGGAAACCCAGUUUAGUCCAUAACAAUUACCCAGCCAAAUAAAGAUAGUAUAGCCCAGGGGUUAAACAGACUAUAUUCAGAGUCAGAGAGACUGGGGUUAGGGGCACCGGGGUGGCUCAGUCGGUUGGGCUGCUGGCUUUUGAUUUCAGCUUGGGUCAUGAUCUCAGGGUCCUGGGUGGCUCUGCACUCAGUGGGGAGUCUGCUUGAGAUUCUCUCUCUCCCUCUGCCCUUCCCCCCCACUUGCUCAUGUGUGCGUGUGCGCAUGUGUGUUCUCUCUCUUGCUCUCUCUCUAAAAUAAAUGAAUAACUUUUUUUUUUUAAAGAAAGACUGGGGUUAGAAUUCUGACUUUACACUUAAAAUCUCUUGGAACCUCGACUUUCUCCUCUGCAAUAAAAAUAAGUAUGGCUUUUGCCCUAUUAAAUGACAUGAGGUGUGCAAAUACGUGUAGAAUGUGAGGAUGUAGUAAGUACGCAACAACUUCCAGCUGUAGUAGGUAGUGGUGUUUUUGUUGCCAUCAUUGUUGUUAUUACUGGUUUCCUUUUACUGUAAAAAGGGGCUAAUAAAAUGCCCCCCUACUCAGAGCUGCCAGGAUAGUAUAGGACGCAUGGCAAGUAAGAAUAUGCUUUGCCUGCCACAGAGUAAGCUCUUAUAUGUUAAUUGUGGCCAUCGUCUUCAUGGAAUGAGAAGCUUGUUUCCCUAUAUUAUCCUACUGAGUAGGAUCUGAUGUUGCAAAACUGUGUCUGUAUUUAAUAAAAUGCAAUUUUCUUGUUGGGACAGUCUUACCCAGAGAGACAACCUACUUCAGGCAGGAGCUCAUAUUUUAGUUAUUAAAAUCUGAAAUGAAGCAACAUCAGAGGAUGCACAAGUUAUAAAAUUAUUUAGCUUAAGGGGGGGUGGGACCCAUAUUUCCAAAUUGCAGAGCAAAGAAACGUUCGGGUUCAAUGUGGGUGAUUAACCGUUUGAUAUCUUGUCAGGCUUCCACAAAGUCUUCCUGUAUUAUAUAUAUAUAUAUAUAUAUAUAUAUAUAUAUAUAUAUAUAUAUAUAUCUUGCUGUGUCUCAUGUAAUUAAGAAAUGGUGCUGGGUUCUUGUCAUCCACCAUUAAGGCCUAGUCACAGGUAGUUUCAUAACAUCUGCUUCUUGCAACCUUCUAAUUAUCCAUAAAAAUCUGGCAGAAGGACCUGACAGUUUAUCUGGAACACAGAAUAUGAAUACAAAACAGGGUGCUUGGCUUCUAGAUACAAAGUGAUGGCACAAAACAGGUACUCUCUGAGCUCUUAUUUUGCAUGCAGCGAUGUCACCUGUUCAAAUCAGAGUUAGGUGCAUGUCUUCUCAAUAAAGACUCAAUUUUGAAAAGCAUCUUUUGACAAAAUGAAUGUGGGUCAGGAAUAUGUUAAUGGUGCUUUGUCAGAAUCUGCUGUCAGCUGCUGCUCUGUUAUGCCUUGUGCAAUCCAGCCAGACACCGUGACUUCCCUGCCUGUACCUGCAGGCUCUGAGCUGUCCGCGCCCUGAUACGAAGAGCUGGGGAGCUCUUGACUGGACCAGACACCUGCCUCCAGCAAGGUCGGCUCCUCGCCUCUCGUCACUGGCUUUCCUUGUAGAGGCCGCCUUUCUUGCCCACCGACCUGCCUGGCUUUCCGACUCAUCAGCUCACCUUGACUGCAGGAAGUGCAUCUCCUCCAGUCGAGUGGCCAGCUAAGACACGAUGACUUGAAAACCAGAGGAAGAAGAGCAAAGUCAAGCUGAGACGCGGAUCCUGGUCUUCUGAUGAAACGAGGGGAGGGGGGGUGGGUGGGGGCAACUGGGCUUUGAAUCUUGGAUGCUCUUCUUCACUACUCCGAGUGUGGGCCUGGCACCACAGUGGCAUCACCUGGGAUCUUGUUAAAAAUUCAGAAUCUCAGGCUCCAUCCCACAUCUGCUGAAUCAUUUGUACGGGAUUCCCAGGUGACUUGUAUGCACAUUAAAGCAGCGCUACUGGGUUUAUUAAUUUGUAGAAACGCUUAAAAAUUAACCUCCUUGGAGGGGCCCAGGGAAGUUGCUGCCAUUACUGGCAGGGGCUUAACUGAGAAGAAGUCUGGACCUCAUUACAGUAGAUAAAGUAACUUAGCUAAAAGCUAAGCUUUCAGGAGGGCAAAGGGGAGUGAUGUGGGCUUUUGAGGUGAGGCCAUUAACAGUUGGAUUAUAGCACAAUGGGCCAUAAUGGGGUAGUCAUGAAACGUAAUUGAUACGGUGAUGUUAUACAAAAGGACACUAGCUUUGUUCCAGCCUCUUUCUUCAGAGGAGGCGGAUGGUAGGAGUGGGGCGAUCCGACAAAGGAAUUCAUCCUAUAAACAUUGUAGUUUCUCCUCUGGCCUGCUCUGUGUCCAGCUUCAGGUGAGCCCUUCCUUGGUGUGGGCGCCCACCAGGUGAGCAGUCUCCAGCCACGACCCUGGGGGGCCUGAGUGGCCCACCCUGCCCCAUGCCCACCUGUGAAACCCCUGCAGGUGAGCUCCAGCCUGGGGAUGGCAUGCCUGGUAUCAGGCAGGCUCGGAUUCUGGAAAUCUCUUCAAUGGGACCCACAGAGCUUGGCCCCCGUAUGACACUGCUCCUUAAAGCACAGGGUGCUGAGCUCAGAGCCACGGCAGCCCCUUCACCGAGCAACUGUUUGCUCUUUCUUGAUUUAUUUCUCUUGAUUGCUCCACUUUCUUGGGAGCUCAGAACUUGUUUUCUUUGUUAGCGCUCUACCAGUUUCUUUUCCACGAGUACUUUCCACCUGCCUCCGGGAAGAUGUCAUCAAAAAUGGAAAUGCCAUUUAUCCUGGAAAAACGGUUAUGUAUUUCUGAUUUAUGCCACACCUAUUUAAAAAAAAAAGUCCCACAGUAUGAUACAUGGACUGAAUGUGAAGCUGAAAAAUGAAAAUCACCUAAAAUCAAGGUGAUAGGAGGACAUCAUUAUUCUAGAAGCUAAAUUGGAGCAUAGUUGGGACUGUGUUACACAGGGAUUUUUAUUUAUUUUUAGCAUUUCACUUAUUUAUGUGAGAGACAGCAGAACAGGAGA